rnacentral:sRNA from 1 species
UUUGAUAGCUGAGUAAUAUUCCAUUGUGUAGACGUACCACAUUUUCUGUAUCCAUUCCUCUGAGCUCUUAGCGCUUGUCAGAUGUGCACACUAUAUCCUAUGGCGUGUAAGUGUUAUGACAAGUCUUCCAGCUGUGUGUUACUCCUGCACCUGUACUUCUCCCCUGCAUGUCAGCUUCUCCACUGCUGCUGACCUCGGAACUCAAAGUACUAUCAUCUUUUUUCUCUAGUACAUUCAGUUUCUGUUAGCGUUCUGAAAUCAGCUUGCAUAAAAACCACUCAAACCCUGCUUUCCAAAGACCCAAAAGAUCCUGUGUGUUCAUUGCACUGAAAGCUCAGGCUCUGACAACAGAACUGGUCUUGACAGUGAACGAGUUGGGUGUGAUCCUUGCUCAUCCGAGGAGGAAAAAGACCCCAAAGCACUUGCAAUCCCAAGGCCUAGUUCUCAGGAGUGAGCGUUGGCUGUGGUGGGAGCAUGGAGGCUGGGAGGAAUGGACUGAGAGGUGUCCAGGGGAGAGGUACCUGGACCAGUGGAACACAAGCCGCCGUGGGUCUGGUGGGAUGAGCAGACUAAGCAAAAGAAUGGGGAGCUCAGUGCCAAAGAGAAAACGUGAUUCUGAUCAGAUUCACGGCAGACUGGAUGUGUGUUGAUUUAGAAACAUGAAGUUCUUUACUGGAGGCUUCAGUAAAGCUGGCUUCCCAGGGAAUAAUUUUUGAAGUGUGUUAGGUAUCUACAGCAACAUUAAGCUGUAAUUAAUUUAAGUACUCUGUACUCUGGCUACUGAUAUCCAGCAUCAGGGACCCUGAGCGAUUAGGUAUUAAAAAAUAAAUUAAUGUAAAGCUUACCUUCAGACAGCAGAGGGCAGUCUUGCCCUCUUUAGCCAGAUAGAUGCUGGCACCAAACAAGGUUGGUGCAAUCAGUUUAAAAUUACCUAAUUAGUUUAAUUAGCUCGAACUGCCUUGUCCACUCACUGGAGAUGAGUAACGGACUCAUCGUUGUAUCAUGUUUAUAGCUUGAAUUGGGGCUUUCUCCGAUCACUCUCAGUAGCCUCUCACCAUCAUCAACCACGGAAAGCACUUAAGAGGCAACAAAGAGAAGUCUAUGUAAAAAGACAAUGAAGAUCUGGGACCAGAAGGUCAAGAUCCAGGCAGGAGAUGAGGAGAGAGACAAGAUAACAUUCUGAAGAGAAAGACCUUACCAAGCCCAGAGGUGUAAAUAGAUGAAGAUUGGACCAGAAGCUAAAAGGCUUGAUUAAUGCGAGAGAGCAAGAGUGCCUUUAGCUUUUGCUACUCUGGCUGACAGACACAGUUGAUGAGACAUGCUGGGUGGACAGCACACCUCUGGAGGAGCCAGCAUCCUGUGGCAGCUGAGUGACAGCAGGUGUAUCUUGGGCCAAACAUCUCUAUCAGGACUUUUUCCUUUCCUUUUUAUUUUCUUUUCUUUUUCUCAAACAAUAUAUCCUGACUAUAGUUUCCCCUUCCUCUAGUCUUCCUAGUUCCUUCCUAUCUCCCCUGACCUCUGGAUCUACUCCCUUUCUGCCUCUCUUUAGAAAAGAACAGGCUUCUAAAAAGAUAACCAUCAAGUAUGACAAAAUUUAAAAAAAGGUAUUAAGAUAAAACAAGAACUAUCAGAUAUAGCAACGCAGCAGGGUGAAAAAUGUCCCAAGAACAGGCACAAGUGUCAGAAACUCAUCUUUUCUCACACUCAGCAAUCCCAUAAGAUACUAAGCUAAUAGUUAUAAUAUAUAUCAGAGACAUCUCAGGCUCCUUUUAAUACAUCAGUUUGCAUAGAAAUAAAGAGGUUUCUAUGGAGGCCAAAUACUGUCCACACAACAUCUUGCCAAUCGAGACAUAGAUAACAGAUGCCCUUGUCCCCUGGUCCUGAGUGUCCUUGGCAUCUUAUUCCUUGGUAACCCUUUAGAGGGUAAGAAGACACAGCACACUCCCACACAGUAGAACCACCCAUUUGGUUUUAUUGAUAUUUGAAUCCUCAACUCUGCACAUUAUGCUUGAUGAGUAACUCCUCGAUAAGGAGGUACUGAUUAAGUUUGGCUUCCUACAGUGAAAUGUGAAAGAUAUUUGUGAGUAAAUGAUUCAGGAUGACCUGUAAUUGGGCUGCGAAUUAGCUUCUUUGCCUGAGUACAAAGGAACAAUAAUUGGUGCUUUGAAAUAGGUUUUACCCACAUAUGGCCUUGGCAUACAAAUUUUGCUCCUGGGAUUAUGGUGAGUCACAUUCUUGGCAGUGGGCAGAGCUGGUAGGUGGGAACAGAGACUCAGGGCCAUGAGGUAGGUUGAGAACAUAUGUCAAAACUUGAAUUCAAGAUACAUUGGUCCUUUUUUUGCUAAUCCUGUUACAGCUAGUCAUAGCCAUGGUUUUAUAGCCAGUCUUCUUGGAUGGUCUCUGAAACCCUGAGCUGAAGCAUGCCUUGCUUUUUGAGGCACCACUUUUCAGAUAGUUCACCUUCAAAGUGAGCCUAGGUCCUAUUUGGCAACAGGUUUCCUCUCCUGUGAGAAUCUGUGCUCAUGGUUGGAAGUUCUCACGAUCCUCAGUCAUCCUGAAAACAGAUGAAGCAGCAGAGGCAUCUCUUCUAUGCCUGUUUUGGGAGGACUGGCAUGCCAGAAGCAUGGAGUACAAGCAUCCAUGGUCUGGUCCUCGCUUCUUUUCCUGCUGAGACUCCAUGCUGACUUUAAAUGAGAAAUGGCAGCUUUGGUUGGCAGGAGAACAGCCUAUCUCCACUUCAGGGUGGCCACCUGGGUGCAGCUCAUGAGUAGUUGGAUCCAAGUUUAUAAGCAAGACUAUGAGUAUGACAGGCACUGAAGAAGGUGAGCCCUAUCCUUCCAGGUGAUUACACUGAAAAGGAAUGACUUUCAGGUCCCUGAGACUCCUGGGCUGUA